GGCGGCAGGCCUACACAUGCAAGUCGAGCGCGAAAAGCCUUCGGGCUGAGUAAAGCGGCGGACGGGUGAGUAACGCGUAGGAAUCUACCUGGUAGUGGGGGACAACUUGGGGAAACUCAAGCUAAUACCGCAUACGCCCUAAGGGGGAAAGCGGGGGACCUUCGGGCCUCGCGCUAUCAGAUGAGCCUGCGUAGGAUUAGCUAGUUGGUGGGGUAAAGGCCCACCGAGGCGACGAUCCUUAGCUUGGUCUUGAGAGGAUGAUCAGCCACGCUGGAACUUGAGACACGGUCCAGACUCCUACGGGAGGCAGCAGUGGGGAAUAUUGCGCAAUGGGCGAAAGCCUGACGCAGCCAUGCCGCGUGUGUGAAGAAGGCCUUAGGGUUGUAAAGCACUUUCAAUUGGGAAGAAAAGCUUGUCGUUAAUAGCGGCAAGCCCUGACAUUACCUUUAGAAGAAGCACCGGCUAACUCCGUGCCAGCAGCCGCGGUAAUACGGAGGGUGCGAGCGUUAAUCGGAAUUACUGGGGCGUAAAGCGCGCGUAGGCGGUUUGUUAAGUCAGCUGUGAAAGCCCCGGGCUCAACCUGGGAACUGCAGUUGAUACUGGCCGACUAGAGUACGAGAGAGGGAGGUAGAAUUCCAUGUGUAGCGGUGAAAUGCGUAGAUAUAUGGAGGAAUACCAGUGGCGAAGGCGGCCUCCUGGCUCGAUACUGACGCUGAGGUGCCGAAAGCCGUGGGGAUCAAACAGGAUUAGAUACCCUGGUAGUCCACGCCGU
rnacentral:rRNA from 1 species